rnacentral:rRNA from 1 species
AACGAACGCUGGCGGCAUGCCUAACACAUGCAAGUCGAACGAGAUCUUCGGGUCUAGUGGCGCACGGGUGCGUAACGCGUGGGAAUCUGCCCUCAGGUUCGGAAUAACCAUUGGAAACGAUGGCUAAUACCGGAUGAUGACGUUAAGUCCAAAGAUUUAUCGCCUGAGGAUGAGCCCGCGUAGGAUUAGCUAGUUGGUGUGGUAAAGGCGCACCAAGGCGACGAUCCUUAGCUGGUCUGAGAGGAUGAUCAGCCACACUGGGACUGAGACACGGCCCAGACUCCUACGGGAGGCAGCAGUGGGGAAUAUUGGACGAUGGGCGAAAGCCUGAUCCAGCAAUGCCGCGUGAGUGAUGAAGGCCUUAGGGUUGUAAAGCUCUUUUACCCGGGAUGAUAAUGACAGUACCGGGAGAAUAAGCUCCGGCUAACUCCGUG